UACAGAGGGUGCCAGCGUUAUUCGGAUUUAUUGGGCGUAAAGAGCGCGUAGGCGGUUUGGUAAGUUUGAUGUGAAAGCCCUGGACUUAAUUCAGGAAGUGCAUUGAAUACUGCUAGACUAGAGUAUCGGAGAGGUGAGCGGAAUUCCUGGUGUAGAGGUGAAAUUCGUAGAUAUCAGGAGGAACAACAGAAGCGAAGGCGGCUCACUGGACGAUUACUGACGCUGAGGCGCGAAAGCGUGGGGAGCAAACAGG
rnacentral:rRNA from 1 species